CUAGCCGUAAACGAUGGGUACUAGGUGUGGGAGGUAUCGACCCCUUCCGUGCCGGAGUUAACGCAAUAAGUACCCCGCCUGGGGACUACGAUCGCAAGAUUGAAACUCAAAGGAAUUGACGGGGGCCCGCACAAGCGGUGGAGCAUGUGGUUUAAUUCGAAGCAACGCGAAGAACCUUACCAGGCCUUGACAUCCAAUGAACUUUCCAGAGAUGGAUUGGUGCCUUCGGGAACAUUGAGACAGGUGC
rnacentral:rRNA from 1 species